UCGAACGACCCGGACUAUGGCGGGGAGUGGCAGACUGCUCAGUAACACGUAGCUAAUCUACCCUCGGGACGGGGAUAACCCCGGGAAACUGGGGCUAAUACCCGAUAGGUAUGGAUUCCUGGAAUGGUGCCAUGCCUAAACGUAAGCACAUCCAUGUUUGUGUGCACGCCCGAGGAUGGGGCUGCGGCCGAUCAGGCAGUUGGUGAGGUAACGGCUCACCAAACCUUUGACCGGUACGGGCCAUGAGAGUGGUAGCCCGGAGAUGGGCACUGAGACAAGGGCCCAGGCCCUACGGGGCGCAGCAGGCGCGAAACCUCCACAAUUCACGCAAGUGAGAUGGGGUUACCUCGAGUGCCAUCUGAAGAAGGUGGCUUUUCCAUGGUGUAAUGAGCCGUGGGAAUAAGGGGGGGGCAAGACUGGUGUCAGCCGCCGCGGUAACACCAGCCCCCCGAGUGGUGGGGAUGAUUAUUUGGCCUAAAGCGUCCGUAGCCAGCUCGGUAAAUCUCUCGUUAAAUCCAGCGUCCUAAGCGUUGGGCUGCGAGGGAAACUGCCGAACUAGAGGGUGGGAGAGGUCAGCGGUAUUCCUGGGGUAGGGGCGAAAUCCAUUGAUCCCAGGAGGACCACCAGUGGCGAAGGCUGCUGACUAGAACACGCCUGACGGUGAGGGACGAAAGCUGGGGUAGCGAAUCGGAUUAGAUACCCGAGUAGUCCCAGCCGUAAACGAUGCAGGCUAGGUGUUGGGUCGGCCAUGC
rnacentral:rRNA from 1 species